rnacentral:lncRNA from 1 species
UUUAUUAGAAAGUAUAAACAAUCAAAUCUUUUAUAUUUUCAAAUCUUUUUUAUUUCUCCUAAAAACUUAAAAUAAAAUAUCAGAAGCGUUUCAGUUUUUUUCAUAUUUAAAAGCAACUCCUUUUUAUCAAACCACUUUUCAGUUUUUACGGAAAUUUUUUUCAGUUUUUUAUUUUUAUUUUUAUGUUUGUUUCAUGUAAAAUAAGAUGAUUAACAUAAAAAAAAUUUCAGUCAUAGUAAAAUUAUUUCCUUAUUUCCGUAACUGUAACACCUCCAUACCCGACCUAAACAUCCGAUCAAAGCAUAGGGAUGUUACAUUCUCUAUUACAUUCUUCAUUUAUUAAAUAUUUUCUUAUAAAUUUUCAUAACUUUUCAAUUUAGUCCCUUUUUGUCAUAAAAGUUCAAUAUUCACUAAAUUAAUCAUAUUAAAUCAAAUUUUUUCUUGUUACACUUUAAUCACAUAAUUUAUGUCAAUAUCUUGCUACACAUAUUAAAUUUUUAUGUAUUUCACUUUUAUGAUUUCAUCCACAUAUUUUCUCAAGUUUAACAAUUUAGUCCUUAUCAUCAUAAAAAUUUCAUAUUUUUCCACAAUUUUACUUUUACAAUACUUUAUGCAUAUUGCAUCAUCUCAUAACGCAUUCACUAAACUUUUGUCAUAAUUUUCUUAUUCACAUAUUAAAUUAUUUAACACUUAAUCUUUUGUACAUUUUUCAAUUUAGUUCUUAUUGCAAUGUAAUUUAUUUUUCACCAUAUAAGCACUUUAAUCAAAUAAUUUAUUAUAAUAUCUUAUUUCACGUAACAAAUUUUCCAUGCACAUCGCUUCUCUUGUUUCAAUUAUAAAUUUCACAAGAUUUAUAACUUAAUCCUUAACAUCACGAAGAAUUAUACAACUUCUAUAAAAUACUUUUAGAAAAUCUAUAAAAUAAAGCUUUCCAGAAACCAUUUUUAAAGAGACAAACGUAUCCUUAAUGUAAGCAAAGCAAGAUACAAAUUUCAAACUGCAAAAAGCAAUACAAAUUUUUGUGUACUCUGAUUUUUCGGUGGGUUGGGUGUCUUUUACCCUCUUUAUCCUCAAGAAGACAAAUUUCAAACUGCAAGAAGCAAUACAAAUUUGCAUAUUUUUCCAAACUACACUAAUAUCCAACCACUACACUCCAUCUAACAUUCAAAACUUUCACAAACUUUUCUGUACUCUGAUUUAUGGCAUCUUUGUUGCCAUAUAUAUAUAUACAUAUACACAAUAACAAAACCAUCUCUUUCACCUUUAAUUUUUCAUUUUCAAUGGCUAUAAUUCAUGGCCCUAACUGUUAAGCUAACCUAGAGAUUAGCCUACAGAGAUAAAACACUACUUUAAGUUUUAUUUUUUCAUUUUCAAUCUCCUCCUGUAGAGAUAAAACACUACUUUGAGCAGUUCGAUGAUGAAAGGAAGAGAAGGACUACAGUGUUUGGUUUUAUGAGCCAUUUGCAUGCUGGAAAUGCUACUGAGUUAUGGUUGAGCAGUGACGGGUUUGCUCUUACUUGAAAAAAGGAAAAAAAAAAAGAAUACAAAAUUAAUUUUGCUCUUACUUGAAAGAGAUUGACGGGAGGACCGAUGGUGACUACCUGACUGGUGAACAAUGAUGGUGGACCGGUGGUGACUGCCUGACUGAUGAACGACGAUGGUGGUGGCCGGAAGGCAAAGUUAUUUUGUUGGGGGGAUUUAGAAAUUAGCUGUUAGAAAUUGGGGGCUGUCAACUGAAGAGGAAAAGAAAAGUAAGGGUAGGCAAAUAGGAAUUUAAUUCGGCCCGAGUCAAAAUUUUCCUAUAUGAGUCCCGGUCUAUUUUUUAAAAGAGUUUUGUGUUUUAUCUAACAAUGGUCGAGUCUAAACUUUCUCAUUUUAUAUAUCGGUUCUCGAACCUAAACAAGUGGCUUAAUCUACGAGUAGGUCUAGUCCUAUCCAAACAAUAUUGGUUUAUUAUCUAAAAUUAAAAAAUAAUUAGAAAUAAGAAAAAUAACUCCACGUACAAUUUUCGAGAAAUAUAAAAAGAAAAGAGUUAAUAAAUGAAAAAGUUUUAUUUAAAAUAAUGUUAUUUAUUUCAUGUUUGUUCUGUUUAUUUCAUUCAUUAUAUCAAAUUCAAUUAAAAUUUUCUGUAUAGGGUUGAGAGUUAUAUAUAUUUUGCUUUCGUUAAAAAAGAUUUCAUCAACCAUGGCAAGAAUUUAAUUAAAAUUACUUUUUCUUUUCUUUUCUCUUCUUCUUCUCUCUAAAAAGAAGAGAAAUGAAGGAUCGGUUGAAAAGAUCCAUGGAAUUAAUUUUUUUUUUCAAAUUAUAUAUAUAUAUUUCUCAUUUUGAUUAUUACUUGUAAUGUAUUGAUGGGAGCAAGCUUCCUAACUAGCACAAGUUAAUUAAAUAACACAAGGGCUUGAAUACCUUAAUAUACCAGCUGAAUUCAUGUUGAAGGGUCUUCAUUUUUCUCUUCUUUUCUUUUCUAUGAGUGUUCUUGAAUUUGUGUAUUUCUGUCGAUGAACAAAACAGAUAAUGAUGGUGUUGGUUUGUACUGAAGCUGGUGAUUCUAUGAGAGGAGAAAGAAGAAACGAGGGGAGAGAUGGAAGAAAAUGAAAUUAAUUUUUUUGAUGAAACUUUUUUAACGGUUGGACUAAAAAUAUUAUCAAAUUCAAAAUUUAGGUCCCUUAAUAAAAAAAUAAUACUACUAUAAUUCAAGGCAAUUUAUUUUCUUGUACCUUUUCAUUUUCUCUAUCCAUUCCUUCAAUUUUUAUCUAAUUUUAUUAUUUUUAUUUUUUGAAUGGUGACAAACUAAAACAACGAGAGCCAAAACACGAAAAUUGACUCAUUUUUAAAUUCCAUAACCUUUUGAAGUGCUAUCAAACUAUAUCAAUUAUUGCUUAUAGUUGACAUCAUAAAUUCUUCCAGAGACACUCAUUUUAGAUAGAAUCAUGUCUUUGGGUUAGAUUUGAGCAUAUAGUACAUCAUUUAUCUGUGACUCUCCUUUUGGCCAUGAAUCAUGGUGUGGAGUCACAAACAUCUUUGCUGGGGCUCUACCCUACAUCUUGAACUUGAAACAGAUCAUUAAAGUUUUAUUUAAUGAUAUUUUAAUAGUAGACGUUGACAGCUAAGUUUAAGUCCAAAAGAAGAAACGAGUUUAAACAAUCAAAUAACAUUGUCAAUCAAAAGUUCUUUAUCUGCAAACCCACUUGAAUGUGAGUUGAGAAUUUGUUUGAGAACAAGGAAAUGGUUAAGUGUGGAGAUAUUUAGUAAGUGCUAAAACUAACAUAUUUUAACCUCAUUCUUAAUGCGUUUUUGGGUGAUUAUUUAUUGGUAAUUGUAAAUUUUAUGCUUCUAAUCCUUUAAAUUCGUGUUUUAAUGCUAAAUAGAGUACUUGGGAGCAAAAGGAGCGAAGAACGAGCGAAAACCGAAAAAUCGGAGCAAGCUACAAGAGCCACACAACCGUGUGACCUAAACGGGCUACCACAUGGUCAUGUCGUAGGUUGUGUCGCACGUCGUGUCGAUUUCAUGAAAUGGCGCACUAAACAGCGGAAAAACACGUUUUUUAGGUUUUUUGGGCAUUCUAAGACGUAUAUAUGACAAAAAUAAGAAGAUAGGAGAGUGUUGUCAUAGAAUAUUCAAGAAAACAACUCGAAAAAAACCAUUGAAGCUGAUUCUGAAGCAGAUUUCCGUCAAGAUUGAAGAUUCCCAGUUGAUUUCUUAAGAGAUUAUCACUAGUUUCUUUAUUUUUUUCGGUUAUGUUGUAUCUUAGAUGUAUUUAUUUUCAAGCAUGAGCUAAU